GGGUGCUCGAGUGGCGAACGGGUGAGUAACACGUGAGUAACCUGCCCUUGACUUUGGGAUAACUUCAGGAAACUGGGGCUAAUACCGGAUAGGAGCUCCUGCUGCAUGGUGGGGAUUGGAAAGUUUCGGCGGUUGGGGAUGGACUCGCGGCUUAUCAGCUUGUUGGUGGGGUAGUGGCUUACCAAGGCUUUGACGGGUAGCCGGCCUGAGAGGGUGACCGGCCACAUUGGGACUGAGAUACGGCCCAG
rnacentral:rRNA from 1 species